UUAUUGAACUGUUACAUCUUAAUUAGGCCAUACGGCCCGUUGAAGAUUAAAUAAAUAAUAAUAAUAACACGAACACAGUAGAGACCUCGCGAGAAUGGGUUAUAAAGCACCCGAGUUAAAAUAUACCCUAAAUGCGAACUGCCUGAUGUUCGAGCAUUGCGUCGUAAUUCCGGCUUCCCUGCGCAAAGCCAUAAUGAACGAUUUACAUGCAGCUCACAUUGGAAUCGUCAAAAUGAAAGGGUUGGCACGAUCAUACGUCUAUUGGCCAGGAAUUGAUUCUGAAAUCGAGCAAACAGCUAAAUCCUGCACAGAAUGUGCAUGACAAGCCACAAGUCCACCAAAAUUCAACAAACACCAUUGGGAAUACCCUAACGCACCUUGGGAACGCAUACAUAUCGACUAUGCAGGUCCCGUGGCAGGCGCUAUGCUAUUAGCAGUUGUGGAUGCAUUCAGCAAAUGGUUCGAGGUAAAGACUGACGUCCGUCUUCUCCAACUUCCUUUACUUUCCGGUUUCACCCGGCCUGUCUUGCGCUUGAUGCUCUUUCGCCCUUUCAAGCAAAUUGCUUGAUUAAUUAAUUAAAUAUGUUCUUGCAAGGUAACCACAUCAACUACAACAAACUGGAUGGUUUACUGGAUGAACUAUUUGCAGCUUAUAACACAAGGGUCCACAAUUUGCAUCAGCCGAUUUCACGUCUUACUUCAAAAACGCAGGUCAAGUCCGCCACCAAAGUUGUUCUUAGGUCGAAACAUUCGCACACGCAUUGAUCUUGUGCGACCACAAGAUAUCAACACACGGAUGCAUCAGAAGCAACAAUCCACAUUCGAACCGACUUUCCGUACAUUCUCAGUUCGACAGAAAGUGUACUGUCUUUCUGGAAACCCUCGAACGGACAAAUGGAUUGUAGGAGUCAUCGACGCCUGCUUAGGUGAUCUUCAUUAUCAAAUCAGAUCUAACGGAAAGAUGCUUAAGCGACAUGUCGACCAGAUUCGAAGCUGCCAAGGCAACGUCAGCUUCGAAGAGACCGAUGAAGACGUACCUCGUCGACUGCACUUCUAUGCGAACACUGAGACGCAGCAACCACCAAUCAAUAAUGAAGCCAACGAAACAACAACGUCUUCAGAUGAGUCCAUUUCAUCAGAUAUUGUGUUUGGAACACCUAUGAGCAGCCCGCAACAUUUAACCUCAUCGUCAAGCGAAGACUCACCACCAGUAGCCCGCAGGUCCCAAAGACAACGUCGCCCUCCUCUACGCUACUCGCCAUCCUAGAGUGAACCAGGAUCUUCAUACAAGAGGGAGGAAAUGUUGUAUAUGGAACACCCUAUGUAUGAACGGUGAUGAUUGUCAUCGCUCCUGACGUGACGCAACCUGGAUGUCGUCCGGAUGCACCCCGACCUGGCAUCAACUAAAAGAGCUCUAGAUGAAUCAGCAUCGUUGGCUCGUGAACUUCCACUCUUUUUCAUUCUCUCCAUUUUUACAUGUUUUUCAAUAAAGUGAAUUCAAUACGUAACACAAAGGGCUUUGAGGAAAAUUUGAAAGGAUUUCCUCCUAGAUGCUUCUCAUCUUAA